rnacentral:rRNA from 1 species
GACGAACGCUGGCGGCGUGCCUAAUACAUGCAAGUCGAGCGCAGGAAACUGACGGAACUCUUCGGAGGGAAGGCAGUGGAAUGAGCGGCGGACGGGUGAGUAACACGUAAGGAACCUGCCUCAAGGAUUGGGAUAACUCCGAGAAAUCGGAGCUAAUACCGGAUAGUUCAACGGACCGCAUGGUCCGCUGAUGAAAGGCGCUCCGGCGUCACCUUGAGAUGGCCUUGCGGUGCAUUAGCUAGUUGGUGGGGUAACGGCUCACCAAGGCGACGAUGUAUAGCCGGACUGAGAGGGUGAUCGGCCACACUGGGACUGAGACACGGCCCAGACUCCUACGGGAGGCAGCAGUAGGGAAUCUUCCACAAUGGACGAAAGUCUGAUGGAGCAACGCCGCGUGAGUGAUGAAGGUUUUCGGAUCGUAAAACUCUGUUGUAAGGGAAGAACACGUACGAGAGGAAAUGCUCGUACCUUGACGGUACCUUACGAGAAAGCCACGGCUAACUACGUGCCAGCAGCCGCGGUAAAAC